rnacentral:rRNA from 1 species
UAAGCAUAUCAAUAAGCGGAGGAAAAGAAACUAACAAGGAUUCCCUUAGUAACUGCGAGUGAAGAGGGAAGAGCUCAAAUUUAAAAUCUGGCAGUGUUUUGCUGUCCGAGUUGUAAUCUAGAGAAGUGCUGCCCGUGCUGGACCAUGUACAAGUCUCCUGGAAUGGAGCGUCACAGAGGGUGAGAAUCCCGUCUUUGACAUGGACUACCAGUGCAUUUGUGGUGUGCUCUCAAAGAGUCGAGUUGUUUGGGAAUGCAGCUCUAAAUGGGUGGUAAACUCCAUCUAAAGCUAAAUAUUGGCGAGAGACCGAUAGCGAACAAGUACCGUGAGGGAAAGAUGAAAAGAACUUUGGAAAGAGAGUUAAACAGUAUGUGAAAUUGUUGAAAGGGAAACGCUUAAAGUCAGUCGUGUCGGCCAGGGAUCAACUCAGCUUUCUCUGCUGGGUGUACUUCCUGAUCUGAUGGGCCAACAUCAGUUUUGACUGCUGGAGAAGGACAGAGGGAAUGUGGCACCUUCGGGUGUGUUAUAGCUCUCUGUCAGAUGCAGUGGUUGGGACUGAGGAUUGCAGCAUGCCGCAAGGCCGGGUCGUUUCGACCACGUUCAUGCUGAGGAUGUUGGCAUAAUGGCUUUAAUCGACCCGU